UACGGAGGGUGCAAGCGUUAUCCGGAUUCACUGGGUUUAAAGGGUGCGUAGGUGGGUUGGUAAGUCAGUGGUGAAAUCUCCGAGCUUAACUUGGAAACUGCCAUUGAUACUAUUAGUCUUGAAUACCGUGGAGGUCAGCGGAAUAUGUCAUGUAGCGGUGAAAUGCUUAGAUAUGACAUAGAACACCAAUUGCGAAGGCAGCUGACUACGCGAAUAUUGACACUGAUGCACGAAAGCGUGGGGAUCAAACAGG
rnacentral:rRNA from 1 species